rnacentral:hammerhead_ribozyme from 1 species
GCACUGCUGAGGACUCCCAUACCAGGACGAAACGGCCGUCCAGUGC